AGCCAGAGCGCGUGGGGCCCGCGACCGGGGCCUCCAUCCCGGUGCCCUCCGUCCACUGCCGGGCGCAGCGGAGCGGUAGGCGCGGCCUUAGCCUCAAGGUCGUGUCAGGAGGCCCCCUUCCUCUCCCCCUCCCCAGUUGAUGCAGCCUCGAGCUUUCCUCCGCGCCUUCUGCUCAGUCGCAUUUUAACACAGUUUACCUACUAACAAUGAGUUCUGGUCUCAACGCAGUGGAGCGUUGUCGGCGUUUGUUCCCGCAUCUCCCUUUGUAAAUAUGCUCUGGAGACGUGGCAUUGAAGUUGAAGGAGAAUCCGUACAGUAUAGGAGGCCCUGAGACGGUAAAUGCCGGUUAUACCCUUAGAUGCUUCGGGUCACAGAGAUGUGUAUUUCCGGAUACAAUACAGAAGAAACCGGUCAAGAAAUGGGAGACUGGAAGAACUUUUGCCUCUUCAAAAGCAAAGGUACAACAGAGCCUAUGAGUUGAAGAUGAAUGAAGGUCGUUGUGAUAAAUGUUUUCCAUAAACUUGUCACGGAGGAUGGCUGUGAAAAAACCACCAGGAGGACAGCUGUGCACGUAACAAGCAUAUAAGUACCUGCAGAUGAAUGUUCAAGUCCUUAGCAGUGGUGUUUAAAAAUUCUUCAUUGCCUCAAGUAAGUGAUUAAGAUUUUCAAGCAACCGAAUCUAGAGAUAAUUUGGAAGUACCUGAUAAAUUCCAAAGGGCUGAGGCCAUUUCCUGUUAAAGAGGUGUGGCAUACAGCAUUUUGGAAGGGAAAAUGAAGAAUUGGUCAAGAAGACAUGAAUUAAAGUAAAUGACAAAAAUUAAUAUUUUAUUUAACAUUGAUCACCUCACAAUAAAUUAUGUAGAAAAAUAUAAGUUCAAAUGAUUUUAAUUGCUGGGCAAUAA